GUGGGUCUAGCUCAGUGGUAGAGCACAUGCUUACAUGCAUGAGGUCCUGGGUUCAAUCCCUAGUACUUCCA
rnacentral:tRNA from 1 species